AUCGCUUCUCGGCCUUUUGGCUAAGAUCAAGUGUAGUAUCUGUUCUUAUCAAUUUAAGCCACCCAGCCUGUGGCAUUUGUCAUACCAUCUCCAACUGAGGAAGACAAGAAAGUCCAGUGUUACUUCUUCAGUCAGAUUCUCACUUUGUAAGAGGGAAAUGUGUAAAUCAGGAUAUUAUCCACCCCAACACCCAGCCCGCACAUACCUGCCUUCUCUUAACUACCUGGUCUUACAUACUUUGG
rnacentral:snRNA from 1 species